CUUCUUCUUCUUCCUCUUCUCGUUCUUCAUCAUCUUAUUCCUCAUCAUCGUCAUCGAUGAUGACCCAAUUCCCCUUCUUCUUCCUCUUCUUCUUCAUCAUCUCGUGCCAUAGUCACGUUCUUCAUCAUCUCGUGCCAUAGUUAUUCCCCUUCUUCUUCCUCUUCUCGUUCUUCAUCAUCGUCACGUUCUUCCUCAUCUCGUGCCAUAGUUGUGGCGCCAAGUGGAAGUCAGAGGGAUGGUCGUAGCAGCCUGCUGAGCAAGGCAUACAAGGCUUUUGAGAUGGGAGUCACUGUUGCCAGCGUUGGUUCGGGCUUUGGUUGUUCGAUUAUGUGAUCAAUAUAUACACAUACAUGAAGCUGCUGGAUUUAUUUUAUGGGCUAUUCUUGCUGAUUUAAUUUCAAUGCUUAA